GGGUGAUUUCAGAUCUGUCCAGGUAAACAGGAUGAUUUCAGAGCUGUCCAGGUAAACAGGAUGGUUUCAGAGCUGUCCAGGUAAACAGGAUUAUUAACAGGAUUAUUCAUCGAACUACACUGAACAAAAAUAUAAACGCAACAUGUAAAGUGUUGGUCCCAUGUUUCAUGAGCUGAAAUAAAAGAUCCCAGAAAUGUUCCAUGCGCACAAAAAAGCUUUUUUCUCUCAAAUGUUUGUCUCUCAAAUGUUUGACGUCCAUGUCCAUGUUUGUCGUCCAUGUCAGUGAGCACUUCUCCUUUGCCAAGAUAAUCCAUCUAACUGACAGGUGUGACAGGUGUGGCAUAUCAAUAAAAUGAUUAAACAGCAUGAUUAUUACACAGGUGAACCUUGUGCCGGGGACAAUAAAAGUCCCCUCUACAAUGUGCAGUUUUGUCACACAACACAAUGGAACAGAUGUCUCAAGUUUUGAGGGAGCGUGAAAUUGGCAUGCUGACUGCAGGAAUGUCCACCAGAGCUUUUGCCAGAUAAUUAAAUGAUAAUUUCUCUACCAUAAGCCGCCUCUAAAGUAGUUUAGAGAAUUUGGCGUUACGUCCAACAGGCCUCACAACUGCAGAUCACGUGCAUGGCGUUGUGUGGGUGAGCGGUUUGAUGAUGUCAUCGUUGUGAACAGAGUGCCGCAUGUUGGCGGUGGGGUUAUGGUAUGGGGCAGUGGUGUAAAGUACUUCAGUAAAAAUACUUUCAAUUACUACUUAAUUCGUUUUUUGGGGUAUCUGUACUUUACUAUUUAUAUGUUUGACUACUUUUACUUCACUACAUUCCUAAAUAAAAUAAUGUACUUUUUACUCCAUGCAUUUUCCCUGACACCCAAAAGUACUCGUUACAUUUUAAAUGCUUAGCAGGACAGGAAAUGGUCCAAUUCACGCAAUAAUCAAGAGAACAUCCCUGGUCGUCCCUACUGUCUCUGAUCUGGAGGACUCACUAAACAGAGAACAUCCCUGGUAAUCUCUACUGCCUCUGAUCUGGAGGACUCACUAAACAGAGAACAUCCCUGGUCAUCCCACCUGUCUCUGAUCUGGAGGACUCACUAAACAGAGAACAUCCCUGGUCAUCCCUACUGCCUCUGAUCUGGAGGACUCACUAAACAGAGAACAUCCCUGGUCAUCCCUACUGCCUCUGAUCUGGAUGACUCACUAAACAGAGAACAUCCCUGGUCCUCCCUACUGCCUCUGACCUGGAGGACUCACUAAACAGAGAACAUCCCUGGUCAUCCCUACUGCCUCUGAUCUGGAGGACUCACUAAACAGAGAACAUCCCUGG
rnacentral:lncRNA from 1 species